rnacentral:rRNA from 1 species
UGGGGAAUAUUGCACAAUGGGCGCAAGCCUGAUGCAGCCAUGCCGCGUGUUUGAAGAAGGCCUUCGGGUUGUAAAGCACUUUCAGCGGGGAGGAAGGCGUUAAGGUUAAUAACCUUGGCGAUUGACGUUACCCGCAGAAGAAGCACCGGCUAACUCCGUGCCAGCAGCCGCGGUAAUACGGAGGGUGCAAGCGUUAAUCGGAAUUACUGGGCGUAAAGCGCACGCAGGCGGUCUGUCAAGUCGGAUGUGAAAUCCCCGGGCUCAACCUGGGAACUGCAUUCGAACCUGGCAGGCUAGAGUCUGGUAGAGGGAGGUAGAAUUCCAGGUGUAGCGGUAAAAUGCGUAGAGAUCUGGAGGGAUACCGGUGGCGGAGGCGGCCCCCUGGACAAAGACUGACGCUCAGGUGCGAAAGCGUGGGGAGCAAGCAGG